GACGAACGCUGGCGGCGUGCCUAAUACAUGCAAGUCGAACGCUGAAGAGAGGAGCUUGCUCUUCUUGGAUGAGUUGCGAACGGGUGAGUAACGCGUAGGUAACCUGCCUGGUAGCGGGGGAUAACUAUUGGAAACGAUAGCUAAUACCGCAUAAAAUGGAUUAUCGCAUGAUAAUCCAUUGAAAGGUGCAAAUGCAUCACUACCAGAUGGACCUGCGUUGUAUUAGCUAGUUGGUGGGGUAACGGCCCACCAAGGCGACGAUACAUAGCCGACCUGAGAGGGGGAUCGGCCACACUGGGACUGGGACACGGCCCAGAAUCCUACGGGAGGCAGCAGUAGGGAAUCUUCGGCAAUGGACGGAAGGCUGACCGAGCAACGCCGCGGGAGGGGAGAAGGGUUUCGGAUCGUAAAGCUCUGUUGUAAGAGAAGAACGAGUGUGAGAGUGGAAAGUUCACACUGUGACGGUAUCUUACCAGAAAGGGACGGCUAACUACGUG
rnacentral:rRNA from 1 species